rnacentral:rRNA from 1 species
UACGAAGGGUGCAAGCGUUACUCGGAAUUACUGGGCGUAAAGCGUGCGUAGGCGGUUCGUUAUGUCUGAUGUGAAAGCCCUGGGCUCAACCUGGGAAUGGCAUUGGAAACUGGCGACCUAGAGUGCGGUAGAGGGUAGUGGAAUUCCCGGUGUAGCAGUGAAAUGCGUAGAGAUCGGGAGGAACAUCCGUGGCGAAGGCGACUACCUGGACCAGCACUGACACUGAGGCACGAAAGCGUGGGGAGCAAACAGG